UACGUAGGUGGCAAGCGUUGUCCGGAUUUACUGGGCGUAAAGAGCGCGCAGGCGGUCUUGUAAGUCGAAUGUGAAAGCCCCUGGCUCAACCAGGGAGGGUCAUUCGAUACUGCUUGACUCGAAGGCAGGAGAGGGAAGUGGAAUUCCGGGUGUAGUGGUGAAAUGCGCAGAUAUCGUUUGGAACGCCAAAGGUGAAAACAGACAGCUGGGAGUGUGCUGACGCUGAGACACGAAAGCCAGGGGAGCGAACGGG
rnacentral:rRNA from 1 species